rnacentral:rRNA from 1 species
AGUGAACGCUGGCGGUAGGCCUAACACAUGCAAGUCGAACGGCAGCACAGUAAGAGCUUGCUCUUACGGGUGGCGAGUGGCGGACGGGUGAGGAAUACAUCGGAAUCUACUUUUUCGUGGGGGAUGACGUAGGGAAACUUACGCUAAUACCGCAUACGACCUACGGGUGAAAGCAGGGGAUCUUCGGACCUUGCGCGACUGAAUGAGCCGAUGUCGGAUUAGCUAGUUGGCGGGGUAAAGGCCCACCAAGGCGACGAUCCGUAGCUGGUCUGAGAGGAUGAUCAGCCACACUGGAACUGAGACACGGUCCAGACUCCUACGGGAGGCAGCAGUGGGGAAUAUUGGACAAUGGGCGCAAGCCUGAUCCAGCCAUACCGCGUGGGUGAAGAAGGCCUUCGGGUUGUAAAGCCCUUUUGUUGGGAAAGAAAAGCAGCAGGUUAAUACCCCGCUGUUCUGACGGUACCCAAAGAAUAAGCACCGGCUAACUUCGUG